rnacentral:rRNA from 1 species
GUCCACGCCGUAAACGAUGGGUACUAGGUGUUCGGGGUAUUGACCCCCUGAGUGCCACAGCUAACGCAUUAAGUACCCCGCCUGGGGACUACGGCCGCAAGGCUAAAACUCAAAGGAAUUGACGGGGGCCCGCACAAGCGGUGGAGCAUGUGGUUUAAUUCGACGCAACGCGAAGAACCUUACCUGGGCUAGACAACAUCGGACCGCCCCAGAAAUGGGGUUUUCCCGCAAGGGACUGGUGGUUCAGGUGCUGCAUGGCUGUCGU